rnacentral:rRNA from 1 species
CAGUAGCCGCGGUAACACGGAGGGUGCUAGCGUUGUUCGGAAUUACUGGGCGUAAAGCGCACGUAGGCGGCUUGGUAAGUUAGAGGUGAAAGCCUGGAGCUCAACUCCAGAAUUGCCUUUAAGACUGCCGAGCUAGCAGGUGAGAGAGGUAAGUGGAAUUCCGAGUGUAGAGGUGAAAUUCGUAGAUAUUCGGAAGAACACCAGUGGCGAAGGCGGCUUACUGGCUCAUACUGGACGCUGAGGUGCGAAAGCGUGGGGAGCAAACAGGAUUAGAUACCCCUGUAGUCCCUGUCUCUUAUAC